AGCCCUCAGUCCGUAGCCGGUGGAGACAGCAGAUCGGUCGGCUGGCGUUUUAUAAUUACGAUGAGGCGAUGCCACCUUGUUUCGGUCAUCAAACUCACCUCGGUUACACUGGGAAUUAGGAAUUACGAUUACUGAAGUUGAUAACUGCGCUCUCAUUUAUUCAUCAUAUUCCCAUAAACAACGAGAGACUUGCAAGAUCUAUUGUAUACGAAUUAUCGACCCGCUGAAAAGACACUGACUGCUAACAUUUAUUUCGCGUAGGAGAAACAUACUUUCCACCGGGGAAAAAAAAAAAACAUGUUUACAAAGGUGAAAUUCUUUUGGCGUUAUAGUUGAAGUAGCCUUGCUGUAGGCUGAGCUGCCAGCCCCCCGUAAGACCACCCAAACCACUGAGCUGUUACCCAGACUAGACUGACGCACAAAUCGGGGAAGAACCACUAACUUAAAGAGGUCUGGCGCAGAUUAGCAAACCAUCCUUUAAAACAAGUUCAGCGUUUCAUUUUUUUGUCUGAUUAUUCAUGCACUUCGCGUACAUCUUAAUAUCAACUUUGAGAGAAGAAAAGUGUCCGAUAAACCGGACACCGGCACUUUAAAGGCGGCCCCGUGAGCGCAUGUGAAAUAGCCCGCAGAAAAGAGAAGAACUGACUGGGAGGAAUAUAAAGACAGUAUAAAGAUAUUUUGGUAACAGGUGGGGGCGCUCUAAUUACCCUUGGGGACAUGUGAUUCUGUACGUUCGUGUCAUGCUGUGCGACCUAUCACAUCAGCAAACUCCAAAACAAAGUCGCAUCACCUAUUUCAUCCAGUUUGGAGAUGAACUGCUCGUUGUGAACUGUCGUCAAGGUGCUGCCUGGCUAUUGUCGAGUCCAGCAACAGCCGAGUGUGUGCGGUUCUGGCUGCAGUGGAGCCUGUUUGUGUGCGUGCGUGACCCUGCCGGACUGCUGCUCAUCCAUUCAACGGCACAGCUCAUCUGAGGAGAGAUCUCAUGGAACGUGAGCUCAAACACAUUUCUUAGUCACCUCUAUCCCAGCCUCGCUCCUCUUCAGCAGUGUGUACAGGGUGUACCAGCAGGACUGAGGGCCUCAUAGUGCAAGCAGGAGAAGAAUACAUAUGAAUUUACAUGAAGAUUCACCCUUUUUGAAAAAUACUGUUACAAUUUUAGCUCAAUGCUUAAUUUUACCAAAUACAAGAUAUUAGGAAAUAUUCAAAUUCUGUAGAGUCUAAAUGAUGUUUCCUGUUUCUCCUCUAGACCUCAGUAGAAGUCUACAGCUUUCUGAGCAAAAGCCCGUGUCAUCAUUUAUCAUUUCUUUCCUCGGGUUCUUUAAACACAUGACACAGUUAAGAUUUGCCAAGACAUAAAACUAUAACACAUGAAAAAUUAUUUGCUCUGAGGUAGGCAAUAUAAAAACCUAGCUAAAUCUCUCAUGUUACCUCACAGCAAUUUAGUGCAACCAUUGACAGGCAAACUCCCUUUUUACAUUCCUGUUACUGCAUGUGUCAGAUGCCAAUAUGUGAUUUCCCUCCAAUAAAGGUCUCUGUGAGGAGCACUAAAGGCUUUGUGUGUGGUUCUGCCUGUUUAGAGGCUGAUGGGGUAAGUCUUGUAAAUAUGCCUGCACUAUAUGAAUCAGACCUUCACGAGAAAGCGCACUGCUGCAGCUCCUCUCAUCAAUGGUUUAUUUUUAGCCAUAAUACUGACACAACUCAGUCAGUACAAUGUAUGACUCAUUCGUGACUUCACGUAAUUAUUUACUAUUAAAAGAUCAAUUUGACUGGAACUCUGAAAUGUUUCAUUGCAAGCUACCUGGUGUGCAGUUAAGGUGAAUCAGAACACAACCUGAUGGUUAAAACAGAAGUACACAUGAAAAUGAGGGAGCUCUGAAUCACUUCAGUUCACCUGCUCAGGUAUGUGGAACUAAGAGAAUACCGUAUUUACCUUUUGAAGUUUAGUCACGUACAUGUAACUGAACAUGCACCUUAUCUAGACUGAACCUUGCCU